CAGAAAACAUAAAUUAGAUAUCAGUGGUUUGGAGUAUGGAUAUUCUUUUGUGAUUGAAGAAUUUCCACAGUGUGGAGAUAUACAACCCACUCUUUAUCCCAAAUUCAGAACAAUUUGUGUGUGUGUGUGUGUGUGUGUGUGUGUAUGUGUCAGGGUGGGAUACUGGGGAUUGAACACAGAUGCCUUCUAA
rnacentral:sRNA from 1 species